CCUGACGCAGCGACGCCGCGUGGAGGAUGACACAUUUCGGUGCGUAAACUCCUUUUAUAUGAGAAGAUAAUGACGGUAUCAUAUGAAUAAGCACCGGCUAACUCCGUGCCAGCAGCCGCGGUAAUACGGGGGGUGCAAGCGUUACUCGGAAUCACUGGGCGUAAAGAGAAUGUAGGCUGGUUAUUAAGUUGGAAGUGAAAUCCUAUGGCUCAACCAUAGAACUGCUUCCAAAACUGAUUACCUAGAAUAUGGGAGAGGUAGAUGGAAUUUCUGGUGUAGGGGUAAAAUCCGUAGAGAUCAGAAGGAAUACCGAUUGCGAAGGCGAUCUACUGGAACAUUAUUGACGCUGAGAUUCGAAAGCGUGGGGAGCAAACAGGAUUAGAUACCCUGGUAGUCCACGCCCUAAACGAUGCACACUAGUUGUUGCUAUGCUAGACAUAGCAGUAAUGCAGUUAACACAGUAAGUGUGCCGCCUGGGGAGUACGGUCGCAAGAUUAAAACUCAAAGGAAUUGACGG
rnacentral:rRNA from 1 species